GGGAAUGUGGCUUAGUGGUAGAGUGCUUACCUAGCACGUAUGAAGCCCUGGGUUCGAUUCCUCAAUACCA
rnacentral:tRNA from 1 species